ACAUGGGCGCAAGACCUGAUCUAGACCAUGACUCGCGUGAGUGAUGAAGGUCCUUAUGGAUUCGUAAAGCUCUUUCGACUCAUGGGAUGAUAAUGACAGUACCUGUGUAAARAACACCCCGGCUAACUCCGAUGCCAGACAUGCCGCGGUAAUACGGAGGGGGUCAGCGUUGUUCGGAAUAACUGGGCGUAAAGCGUACGUAGGCGGAUUAGAAAGUAUGGGGUGAAAUCCCAGGGCUCAACCCUGGAACUGCCUC
rnacentral:rRNA from 1 species